GCUGGCGGCGUGCCUAAUACAUGCAAGUCGAGCGAAUGGAUUAAGAGCUUGCUCUUAUGAAGUUAGCGGCGGACGGGUGAGUAACACGUGGGUAACCUGCCCAUAAGACUGGGAUAACUCCGGGAAACCGGGGCUAAUACCGGAUAAUAUUUUGAACUGCAUGGUUCGAAAUUGAAAGGCGGCUUCGGCUGUCACUUAUGGAUGGACCCGCGUCGCAUUAGCUAGUUGGUGAGGUAACGGCUCACCAAGGCAACGAUGCGUAGCCGACCUGAGAGGGUGAUCGGCCACACUGGGACUGAGACACGGCCCAGACUCCUACGGGAGGCAGCAGUAGGGAAUCUUCCGCAAUGGACGAAAGUCUGACGGAGCAACGCCGCGUGAGUGAUGAAGGCUUUCGGGUCGUAAAACUCUGUUGUUAGGGAAGAACAAGUGCUAGUUGAAUAAGCUGGCACCUUGACGGUACCUAACCAGAAAGCCACGGCUAACUACGUGCCAGCAGCCGCGGUAAUACGUAGGUGGCAAGCGUUAUCCGGAAUUAUUGGGCGUAAAGCGCGCGCAGGUGGUUUCUUAAGUCUGAUGUGAAAGCCCACGGCUCAACCGUGGAGGGUCAUUGGAAACUGGGAGACUUGAGUGCAGAAGAGGAAAGUGGAAUUCCAUGUGUAGCGGUGAAAUGCGUAGAGAUAUGGAGGAACACCAGUGGCGAAGGCGACUUUCUGGUCUGUAACUGACACUGAGGCGCGAAAGCGUGGGGGAGCAAACAGGAUUAGAUACCCUGGUAGUCCACGCCGUAAACGAUGAGUGCUAGGGUUAGAGGGUUUCCGCCCUUUAGUGCUGAAGUUAA
rnacentral:rRNA from 1 species